AACGAACGCUGGCGGCAUGCCUAACACAUGCAAGUCGAACGAAGGCUUCGGCCUUAGUGGCGCACGGGUGCGUAACGCGUGGGAAUCUGCCCUUAGGUUCGGAAUAACAGUUAGAAAUGACUGCUAAUACCGGAUGAUGACGUAAGUCCAAAGAUUUAUCGCCUGAGGAUGAGCCCGCGUAGGAUUAGCUAGUUGGUGUGGUAAAGGCGCACCAAGGCGACGAUCCUUAGCUGGUCUGAGAGGAUGAUCAGCCACACUGGGACUGAGACACGGCCCAGACUCCUACGGUAAGCAGCAGUGGGGAAUAUUGGACAAUGGGCGCAAGCCUGAUCCAGCAAUGCCGCGUGAGUGAAGAAGGCCUUAGGGUUGUAAAGCUCUUUUACCCGUGAUGAUAAUGACAGUAGCGGGAGAAUAAGCCCCGGCUAACUCCGUG
rnacentral:rRNA from 1 species